GCUGUGGCUCAGGGGCGGAGCAUCUGCUUGUCACGCAGAAGGUCAUAGGUUCAAUACCUGGCAUCACCA
rnacentral:tRNA from 1 species